rnacentral:rRNA from 1 species
CCUACGGGAGGCAGCAGUGAGGAAUAUUGGUCAAUGGACGAGAGUCUGAACCAGCCAAGUAGCGUGAAGGAUGACUGCCCUAUGGGUUGUAAACUUCUUUUAUAUGGGAAUAAAACGUUCCACGUGUGGGAUUUUGUAUGUACCAUAUGAAUAAGGAUCGGCUAACUCCGUGCCAGCAGCCGCGGUAAUACGGAGGAUCCGAGCGUUAUCCGGAUUUAUUGGGUUUAAAGCGAGCGUAGGUGGAUUGUUAAGUCAGUUGUGAAAGUUUGCGGCUCAACCGUAAAAUUGCAGUUGAAACUGGCAGUCUUGAGUACAGUAGAGGUGGGCGGAAUUCGUGGUGUAGCGGUGAAAUGCUUAGAUAUCACGAAGAACUCCGAUUGCGAAGGCAGUUCACUGGACUGCAACUGACACUGAGGCUCGAAAGUGUGGGUAUCAAACAGGAUUAGAUACCCCUGUAGUC